rnacentral:rRNA from 1 species
UCAAGGGGUAGCAAUACACCGGCGAACGGGUGCGUAACACGUACACAACGUACCUUCAGGAGGGGGAUAGCGGCUGGAAACGGCCGGUAAUACCGCAUUACAUUGCAGGGCGGCAUCACCUUGCAAUUAAAGUUUCGACGCCUGAAGAUCGGUGUGCGUCCGAUUAGCUAGUUGGUAGGGUAACGGCCUACCAAGGCGACGAUCG